rnacentral:rRNA from 1 species
UACGUAGGGGGCAAGCGUUAUCCGGAUUUACUGGGUGUAAAGGGAGCGUAGACGGACUGGCAAGUCUGAUGUGAAAGGCGGGGGCUUAACCCCUGGACUGCAUUGGAAACUGUUAGUCUUGAGUGCCGGAGAGGUAAGCGGAAUUCCUAGUGUAGCGGUGAAAUGCGUAGAUAUUAGGAGGAACACCAGUGGCGAAGGCGGCUUACUGGACGGUAACUGACGUUGAGGCUCGAAAGCGUGGGGAGCAAACAGG